rnacentral:rRNA from 1 species
UAGGGAAUCUUCCACAAUGGACGCAAGUCUGAUGGAGCAACGCCGCGUGAGUGAAGAAGGUUUUCGGACCGUAAAGCUCUGUUGUUGGUGAAGAAGGAUAGAGGUAGUAACUGGCCUUUAUUUGACGGUAAUCAACCAGAAAGUCACGGCUAACUACGUGCCAGCAGCCGCGGUAAUACGUAGGUGGCAAGCGUUGUCCGGAUUUAUUGGGCGUAAAGCGAGCGCAGGCGGAAGAAUAAGUCUGAUGUGAAAGCCCUCGGCUUAACCGAGGAAUUGCAUCGGAAACUGUUUUUCUUGAGUGCAGAAGAGGAGAGUAGAACUCCAUGUGUAGCGGUGGAAUGCGUAGAUAUAUGGAAGAAUACCAGUGGCGAAGGCGGCUCUCUGGUCUGCAACUGACGCUGAGGCUCGAAAGCAUGGGUAGCGAACAGGAUUAGAUACCCUGGUAGUCCAUG